GACGAACGCUGGCGGCGUGCUUAACACAUGCAAGUCGAACGGAAAGGCCCUGCUUUUGUGGGGCGCUUGAGUGGCGAACGGGUGAGUAACACGUGAGUAACCUGCCCUUGACUUUGGGAUAACGUCAGGAAACUGGGGCUAAUACCGGAUAGGAGCUCCUGCUGCAUGGUGGGGGUUGGAAAGUUUCGGCGGUUGGGGAUGGACUCGCGGUUUAUCAGCUUGUUGGUGGGGUAGUGGCUUACCAAGGCUUUGACGGGUAGCCGGCCUGAGAGGGUGACCGGCCACAUUGGGACUGAGAUACGGCCCAGACUCCUACGGGAGGCAGCGGUGGGGAAUAUUGCACAAUGGGCGGAAGCCUGAUGCGGCAAGGCCGCGUGCGGGAUGACGGCCUUCGGGUUGUAAACCGCUUUCGCCUGUGACGAGGCGUGAGUGACGGUAAUGGGUAAAGAAGCACCGGCUAACUACGUG
rnacentral:rRNA from 1 species